CUCUCCCAUCACCUGUAGGAAAUAGGUGGAGAGAUAGAGGCUCAAAAGAGGCAUUGAAUCCAAUCAGUGGCUGGGUGAAUAACAUACUAGAACAGAUUGAAGAGGGUGGCAAAUCCUGCCUGGUAUUACAUACUAAGGUCUUUCAAAUUACCAUCUGGGGGUAUUUGGGGGAGGAAAGAACUCCUACCCUGAUUUCAACAGAUGAUCAGUCUCCAUUUGGCUCCGGUCACUCACCACAGACUGCAGCAAAUUCUUUGUCCGUGAGGAGAGAAAGGGAACUAGGUCUGCCAAGCAUCCCAUGAUGCAUUGUACUACCAGUAGAGGCAACCCUCACUACAGCAACAGCUAGCCUCAGACUGGCCCCUCUACCCACAAAACUCUAUGAUAAACAUGGCUGCCAGCAGCUGGGAUCAGUUUUGAACAGCGAAAUCAACACAAAGUCAAACUUUGAGGUAGGGCAGCUAUUGUCUUUGUCCUACCUUAGUUAAAAUCCAGGUUAAAAAGUCAGGCUACCCACAUUUCAGAGGGCUGACUUGGAGGGCUUCCCAUGAGUUCUCACGAGAAGCAAAUGCUGGUUUGCUGCCUCCCAUCUUUAUGCUGCUGAUUGUGAGAACAAGCUCAGUCUCUUUUGAUGGGCGUGAACUAGAAUUCAGUGCAAAGGGACUUAAGGGGUUUAGAGGCAGUGUGCAGGAGAAGGGACAUGAGGGGACAAGCUCUUGCUUUUGGGCUUCUCAGAGGCAUCUGGCUGGUAGGGCUGUGCAUCAGGCACCUUGACCAAAUGAAUUUACAGCACUCCCUCUCCUCUGGUACCGUGCGGAGGUGGCUGCUCAAACCACAGCCAUCUCCAUGUGCAAUUCCUCACAUUUCCGGUGCUGGGGAGGAGGCGGUUCUUCUAGUGGAAUUGAAGCCCUCCAAGCCAACAAGAAAAGUGUUCAGGGACAUCUGGGAUGUGUAGUUGCCCCAUGAAGAAAGCACUGGGAGGAACUACACUUCCCAGUUGUCCCUGCAGGCCUUCCCAGCCAGGCCUACAGGCUCCAUUUCCAGUAGAAGAGGCCUUACCAGUGCUGGAAAGGCGAGGAACCGAAUGGAGAUGGUUGUGCUGGGAGCUGCUGCCUCCAUGUGGCCCUGGUGGUGGUGGUGGUUGUGCUGCAAAUUAAUGGGGAUGGGGAUAUCUGAUGCACAGCACUACUGGUUGGCCAUUGUGGGAAACAAGAUGCUGGACUAGAGUGUUUGUGGCCAAGCAGGGAGCUUCUUAUGGGUUUAAGAUGGGCCAUCAGCAGCUUCAUAGGUUGGGAUGCUCAGUAAGAGCUGGCUGUUUCCCAUAGAUACUUCCCACAAAGUCUGGACACAAGUGACCCUUAUAAUCUUCUCCUUACCCAACUGACAGAGUCCCUGCAGCUAUUCCUUGGCUGUUUCCCUGCAUUCCAACAGAUGCCUUAAGUAUCAGGUGGAAAACUUCAAACCAGAAUACAUUAUUAUAAAUAUGUUUAUUCAUAAUAACUAGUGGGCCCGGGCACAGAGCAUCUGUGUCUCUAGCUGGCCCGCCGCGCUGCCGCCGCCGCCUGACCCGCCGCCUCGCCUCCGCGGCCGCGCCCGCCUGGCUCCCCGGCCAUGGCCGCCGCUGUUCUCCUGGGUGCGCCAGCCAAUCAGGCGCCCCGCAGCUAAGCCAAUCAGCUGAGCUGCCGGGACGCAUUUUUCCCUGGCACACCCAGGAGAAUUAAAUAUAUAGAUGAAUACACACUCACCCUCGAAAAAUGCAGGUUUAACUCCCAGAGUUUUAUCCUUUCGUGGGCAACUUGCUGGUACACAAGUUUACUUAUUGCAGGGUAGUUUGGGUCUUUCACAGGAUCUUCUGACUGGGAUUUAAAAGUUAAAGGGAAAACCCAUUUAACUUUUAAAUCAUAAACUUGCAAAGACCAGAACUACCUCCAGUAAUGAAAGCUCUGUACUGCAAAUCAUCUGCAAAGGGUUUGGGGAUUUAAAAGUUAAAGCACAGCCUGUGUCACUUCUCAACUCAGAAGGUGCUGGGAGAACCCCUUUAAUUUUUAAAUCCCCACCCUCUCCCAGCUGAGAAGCAGCACAGUCUGUUCAUUUGGUGUGGGUUCCCCAUUUGCAGGGUUGGGGGUUUAAAAGUUAAAUGCCCAAUUCUAUGAAUGAACAGCCUGCGCCACUUCCUCCAAAAACCUAAACCCAUUUUUUCAGUUAGGUUUGAAUAUUAGUUAUUUUUCAGUUAGGUUUUAACUCUCACAGCAAUCUUGUGGAACAUUCCCCCCAUGGUAUUCAAAGGUCUCAUGUAGAUCAUUUUCAAACAAAAACAAAGUUUUCAAAGUGGUUUGCAUAGAAAAAGGAAGAAGAUGGUUCCCUGUUCCAAAGGGGCUCACCAUCUGUGGAGGAAUGAGACCUAGACAUUUUGGGUUUCUGUAAAUAAGCCCCUGUAUUGUAUAGCGUAUUACUAUUCCCAAACCUCUUCUUUUUAAAAUAACCCUUGUAUUAUAAAUGAACUAUAAAUUAUAUUAUAUUCCUAAACAUUCCUUAUUGUAAAUAGGAUUUCUGUGCUUGCAAAUCCCUAUGCAUAGAGAAGGUGCAAGGUCAAAAGUUCAUAUUUGUUUUUCUGUAGUUUGAUACUUGAUUUUUUUGGGCAGGGGAGAGUUUUUUUAAAUGGAGGGAUUUUUUUGUUUGUUCUGACUGGCUCAGUUGAGAAACUGUUGGGGCAAAAAUGUACAUAUAUAGAGAGAGUAGGGACAGUCUGCUAGAGAGAGGCAGAGCUGUAUGGUUGCAGAAGGAAGUCCGAGUGAGUCCAAGAGAGCAGAGAGUAAGUCCAGAAGAGUCAAGAGAGAGCAGCUAGAAGAAGCCUGAAAGUGAAUCUGUCUGCAGAGGAGUUGGUCCAUCAGCAGGAGAGAAGUUGCAGGAGGAAAACAGCUGAAAUCACAAGAAGAAAAAGAAAAGCCAGGCUGGACUGAGCCCCAGACCUGUGCUGUAACCAAGACAAGGACUGCCCAGCAAGCCAGAAGCUGAGAAGAAAGAAAGAGGACUCUGGGUAGGGACCAGAACAGACCCAGGCAAUCGGAAAACACAGUCUUGUCAGAACGUGGCUGCCAAAAUUUGAAAUCACACUGGGAAGGCAGCAACAGAGAAGCAGCAGGGAGAUCACUUCUUGGACACAACAAGGGAAGGGAAGCCACAAUUUGUGUGAAACUGCCUCUUAGCUCUUUGUCAAGAAGUGGCAUCCAAGUUUGACAACUAAUAUAGCUGCAAUACAUUGACCAGGAGAGGAUGAAGUGAGGUGUGAAAAACAUGUCCCCAGAAAUAAAAGGUCUGGUUAAAAAUG